rnacentral:rRNA from 1 species
GACAGAGGGUGCAAACGUUGUUCGGAAUUACUGGGCGUAAAGCGCGUGUAGGCUGCCCUGCAAGUCGGAUGUGAAAGCCCUGGGCUCAACCUAGGAAGUGCAUUCGAAACUGGCAGGCUAGAGUGCGGGAGAGGAGAGUGGAAUUCCUGGUGUAGCGGUGAAAUGCGCAGAUAUCGGGAAGAACACCCGUGGCGAAGGCGGCUCUCUGGGACGGUACUGACGCUGAGACGCGAAAGCGUGGGGAGCGAACAGG